CACAAUAUAAAUAGCAGGGAGUGUACAUCUUACUAUAUUUUGUUGGGAGUUUGUAAGGCCUGAAGUCUGUAUGCAACCAACGUGCCGAAGAAGCAACAUUUUUCAGGCACAAUACGGCUAGUGUAUGAACAACGUGCCCUUUUAUGUAAAUUUCUGAUAACUGAAGGUUCGGGAAAAGAAAUUAAAUUACAUAAAGUGCGCAUGUGAAGUAAAAUACCCUGUGUGGCUCAAACAACCGAGAGCAGGAUGUCAGAAAAUGUAGGACUUUCUCACAAGGUUGAACUUCAACAUGUAUUAGGCUUAAGUGUCUACAGUAAUGCUGCUCUUGACUGUAAUUCCAAGCUAAAUGUUGUGGCCUAUCCUGCUGGGUAAGUACAGUGUAUAAUUGUUAACAAG